rnacentral:rRNA from 2 species
GAAAGCCUUCGGCUUAACCGAAGAAGUGCAUCGGAAACCGGGCGACUUGAGUGCAGAAGAGGACAGUGGAACUCCAUGUGUAGCGGUGGAAUGCGUAGAUAUAUGGAAGAACACCAGUGGCGAAGGCGGCUGUCUGGUCUGCAACUGACGCUGAGGCUCGAAAGCAUGGGUAGCGAACAGGAUUAGAUACCCUGGUAGUCCAUGCCGUAAACGAUGAGUGCUAGGUGUUGGAGGGUUUCCGCCCUUCAGUGCCGGAGCUAACGCAUUAAGCACUCCGCCUGGGGAGUACGACCGCAAGGUUGAAACUCAAAGGAAUUGACGGGGGCCCGCACAAGCGGUGGAGCAUGUGGUUUAAUUCGAAGCUACGCGAAGAACCUUACCAGGUCUUGACAUCUUGCGCUAACCUUAGAGAUAAGGCGUUCCCUUCGGGGACGCAAUGACAGGUGGUGCAUGGUCGUCGUCAGCUCGUGUCGUGAGAUGUUGGGUUAAGUCCCGCAACGAGCGCAACCCUUGUUACUAGUUGCCAGCAUUAGGUUGGGCACUCUAGUGAGACUGCCGGUGACAAC